rnacentral:rRNA from 1 species
UACGUAGGGGGCUAGCGUUGUCCGGAAUCAUUGGGCGUAAAGAGCACGCAGGCGGUUUGGCAAGUCGGAUGUGAAAGCCCGGAGCUCAACUCCGGACCUGCAUCCGAAACUGCCCGACUAGAGGUAGGUAGGGGAGAUCGGAAUUCCUGGUGUAGCGGUGAAAUGCGCAGAUAUCAGGAGGAACACCGGUGGCGAAGGCGGAUCUCUGGGCCUUACCUGACGCUCAGGUGCGAAAGCUAGGGGAGCGAACAGG